rnacentral:rRNA from 1 species
GACGAACGCUGUCGGCGUGCUUAACACAUGCAAGUCGAACGGAAAGGCCCUGCUUUUGUGGGGUGCUCGAGUGGCGAACGGGUGAGUAACACGUGAGUAACCUGCCCUUGACUUUGGGAUAACUUCAGGAAACUGGGGCUAAUACCGGAUAGGAGCUCCUGCUGCAUGGUGGGGGUUGGAAAGUUUCGGCGGUUGGGGAUGGACUCGCGGCUUAUCAGCUUGUUGGUGGGGUAGUGGCUUACCAAGGCUUUGACGGGUAGCCGGCCUGAGAGGGUGACCGGCCACAUUGGGACUGAGAUACGGCCCAGACUCCUACGGGAGGCAGCAGUGGGGAAUAUUGCACAAUGGGCGGAAGCCUGAUGCAGCAACGCCGCGUGCGGGAUGACGGCCUUCGGGUUGUAAACCGCUUUCGCCUGUGACGAAGCGUGAGUGACGGUAAUGGGUAAAGAAGCACCGGCUAACUACGUGCCAGCAGCCGCGGUGAUACGUAGGGUGCGAGCGUUGUCCGGAUUUAUUGGGCGUAAAGGGCUCGUAGGUGGUUGAUCGCGUCGGAAGUGUAAUCUUGGGGCUUAACCCUGAGCGUGCUUUCGAUACGGGUUGACUUGAGGAAGGUAGGGGAGAAUGGAAUUCCUGGUGGAGCGGUGGAAUGCGCAGAUAUCAGGAGGAACACCAGUGGCGAAGGCGGUUCUCUGGGCCUUUCCUGACGCUGAGGAGCGAAAGCGUGGGGAGCGAACAGGCUUAGAUACCCUGGUAGUCCACGCUGUAAACGGUGGGUACUAGGUGUGGGGUCCAUUCCACGGGUUCCGUGCCGUAGUUAACGCUUUAAGUACCCCGCCUGGGGAGUACGGCCGCAAGGCUAAAACUCAAAGGAAUUGACGGGGCCCCGCACAAGCGGCGGAGCAUGCGGAUUAAUUCGAUGCAACGCGUAGAACCUUACCUGGGUUUGACAUGGAUCGGGAGUGCUCAGAGAUGGGUGUGCCUCUUUUGGGGUCGGUUCACAGGUGGUGCAUGGCUGUCGUCAGCUCGUGUCGUGAGAUGUUGGGUUUAGUCCCGCAACGAGCGCAACCCUUGUUCACUGUUGCCAGCACGUUAUGGUGGGGACUCAGUGGAGACCGCCGGGGUCAACUCGGAGGAAGGUGGGGAUGACGUCAAGUCAUCAUGCCCCUUAUGUCCAGGGCUUCACGCAUGCUACAAUGGCUGGUACAGAGAGUGGCGAGCCUGUGAGGGUGAGCGAAUCUCGGAAAGCCGGUCUCAGUUCGGAUUGGGGUCUGCAACUCGACCUCAUGAAGUCGGAGUCGCUAGUAAUCGCAGAUCAGCAACGCUGCGGUGAAUACGUUCCCGGGGCU